UUUCAGAUUAAGAGAAAUGAGCACCAUUGUUAAUUGAAGUUCCCUGAUUGGUUACUUUCCAUUUACAUUAAGGUGGUGAAGAAGAUAUUUGAAAAGCUUAUUUGUCAUCCUACCCUAUAACUUGUAUUGAAUGGUAGUUGAGUUGAGCAGCGUUGAAACCUGUUGAGCAACACAUUAUCAUUAGUUGUAUGACUCAAUUUCUUAGUUUAUAUAGUUCAUGUUUCUUUUGGAAUACAUGCACCUUUGGUCUGAAAAAUUUCUUUGUAAUUCAUGUAUCCAUAUC